rnacentral:rRNA from 1 species
UACAGAGGUCUCAAGCGUUGUUCGGAUUCAUUGGGCGUAAAGGGUGCGUAGGCGGCGCGGUAAGUCGGGUGUGAAAUCUCGGAGCUUAACUCCGAAACUGCAUUCGAUACUGCCGUGCUUGAGGACUGGAGAGGAGACUGGAAUUUACGGUGUAGCGGUGAAAUGCGUAGAUAUCGUAAGGAAGACCGGUGGCGAAGGCUAGUCUCUGGACAGUUACUGACACUGAGGCACGAAGGCCAGGGGAGCAAGCGGG